rnacentral:rRNA from 1 species
UACGUAGGGGGCAAGCGUUGUCCGGAAUCAUUGGGCGUAAAGCGCGUGUAGGCGGCUGACUAAGUCCGCUCUGAAAGCCCGGGGCUCAACCCCGGGAGGCGGGUGGAUACUGGUCAGCUCGAGUCCGGAAGAGGAGUGUGGAAUUCCUGGUGUAGCGGUGAAAUGCGCAGAUAUCAGGAGGAACACCCGUGGCGAAAGCGGCUCUCUGGGACGGUACUGACGCUGAGACGCGAAAGCGUGGGGAGCAAACAGG